rnacentral:lncRNA from 1 species
GAUACCAUAAACAAAAAAUACCAUGUCUGCUUUUUAUUCAAUAAUAAUAAUACAAAGAUGACUGAUCCAAACAAUUUUAAGCUCAAACACAAUGUUAUAAGGUAAGAUAAGAACUAAUGUCACAAUAUUACAGGUAAAUCGUUUUUUUUCUUCCUGUUUUUCAAUUUUUAUCACUAUAAUAUUUUCUAUUCCAAAUCUUUAAGAUCCUCAUCCAUUGGUAUGGUAUAGAAGAAGUGUUCAAUUUGCUCGACUGCAUUAUCCUCGCCCUGUGUCUUGUUUCCUCUCUUUAUUGGAGCUAGGCUCUCCUUGUAAUUGAAAACCCAACAGCCAGCAAUGUUAAGGUCCAGCUGAAAUCCAAGAUCUGUAACUUGUCUUGUUGUAGGGUCAUAUAGCACCAGCUGUGAAGUUUCUGUGAUCUCAAAAACCAUGUUAUCGUUAUCCCAGAUGUUGCGAGGCCAAUGAGCAUCUAUAUGAGGUUGUACAGUUAGAACUUUGGACCAAAUUCCCUCUUGUUCAUACCCACACAUCAUAUAUGGAUGUCAUAGGUUUGCCAGGGUCACCGGUUAAUAAAGCAAGUGAGUUGCCACGCAAUGUAAGCGUCCCCCAAUGUUCACUUGGAAUAUCUGGGACUUGCAUCUCCCUAAACUGUUCGCUGCCCAUGUCAAAAGAGCGAAUCGUGUAGAUCUCAUCAAGGCCCCUAGAAAGCCAAUAAUAAACCCCGUUGAGAUAAGUGGCAUCAAGGGGUGCAGAUAAGGUAGAACUGGAAGGGAAUUCAGGAGUUAGGUGUUUCCAUGAGUUGUUGCAUGAGGAAUAAACACAGGCAUAGACACGAGGACAAACACCUUGUCCCGGUUCAUCCCAGAAUACUCGAAUCCAUACAACCUUAUAAUCUUGAGUCAACAGGUCAAAUCCCAAUCCGAACUGAUGAUCAUGGUCCGAGAAAAAGUACUCAAUCUCAAAAGGCGCAGGCGGCAGAGACCUGAACUCUCUGGUGGCAGGAUUCCACAAACCCAAGCAGACAUUGUCUCCAUAAAACUUCUUCUGCACUAAGAAUAAGCCAUCAACUGGACCAGCAACACACGUGAAAUCAGCGACCCUCGGAAGCUGAAGGAGAGUUUUUUGUUCAGGGGUCACACCUGGAACAAUUUCUUCAGGGAGCAAGGAGAAUACAACAGACCUUACGAUGGCGUCUACUUCACGUGCUACUUUCAAGUUGCAAACAAGGAGACGGGCACGAUUGUUCUUGUGAUGAAAAUGUUUUUCUAUGAAACUCGGACUUUUGAUGAGAGCAUACCAGUGCUUGCACACACAUUUGAAAAGCAAGAGUGAUUCCACUGGCAAUCUCAAUAGAAUAUCAACUACUAGAUCUUCUGGUAAAGGACAGCGACCAUCCAUACUGGUGGAAAUAUAAGUAGAAUGAGGCAACUUACAAACAUAUUGAAAGAGAGCAGAUCUAGAAAACAUGCAUUAAUAGAACACACAGUGCAACAAAAAAGAUCAAGUAGUAGCAUUACCAUGUGAAGCAAAAAAGGGGAAGUUACAAAUUUGACCACUCAGCCACAAAUAUUUACAUCCGCAAGCCAUUACACAUAUAUUAUGGGUAUACAUAUUUUUAAAAAUAUUUUGACAAAUCUUCUUGUAGAUCAAUUUUGGAGAAAAGAUCCAAAAUAGUUCCUUAUGUUUGGCUUCAGACUCAAGGUCAUCCCUUCCCUUUCUUUUAUAUGGUGCACUAAUAGUCCUUUAAGUUUCAAGUAUUAGUGCACUUUUAAUCUCUUCAUUAACAUCCAUUUACUCAUUAACGUUUUGAUCCUUUACACAUCCAUUUAUGGCCUCCGCUGUAUACGUUCUGGUAUAACACAAAUUAAUUCUUAGAUUUAUCUUAGCAGUUGCAGAUGAGUCUUCAUUUGUACUUGUUUUAUUUUUUGGCUCUGCAUCUUUCAUUGUUUGGUGUGCACCAUUCAAGAUUUGCUAAUUCUUUAACUUUCUCCUCUAUUUUCCAUACGCAAUUAAUAAGCUGACUAUAAGUCUUUGGGUUUUCCUGAAUAAAAGCUGACUAUAUAUCUGAAACAUAACCAAAGAAUAAAAUAAAAACAAGAAAAAAGGAAAAAUAUAAUACAUACUUAGUCUUCGUGUAUCAAUAUCUCAAAUUAGCAUCGGAUAAAAGUGCACUAAUACUUAAAACUUUGGAGGACUAUUAGUGCACCAAUUGAUGAUUUCGAAUCUAAAGCCAAAAAUAAAGGACUAUCUUGUAUUUUUUCUUUCGAUUUGGGCUGAUAUGGUUUGGACGGAUCAAUAAUCAGCCAAAUAGAGUCAAUAAGAGGAGACUAGUAAAGAAGUAGUCAUGCGGUUUUCUAGUCUUUUCAUUAACUAGUCAAUAAUUAUUUUUAAAGCUACAUAUCAAGUUAGCAUAUAGAGCAAUUUUGCAGGUAAUUUAAGGAUUAAGGAGCAUGAAACAGUAAUUACCCUUUUCUACUAAUAUCAAUCUACAAAUCCUUGGAAAUGGAACAAUUUUAACUUGCCCAAUAUUGAAAUGUAAAAGAUGGAAAGAAAUAAAAAGAAUUAGCAUAAACAGAAACAAUGACAGCAAAACCCUAUAUCCAUCCCCAAAUAGCACAAAUUCAGAUUCAGAUUCAGAUUCAAAUUCAAAAAAAUAAUCAGAAAUCUAACCUUAUAAGCUGAUGAAGAAGAAGUGCCGCAAUUACGACAAGGUAAAAAUGGAAAAAGAGAUUGGAUUGAUUGAGUGGUGUUGUAGAAAUACCUCCAACAGUUGACUACUUCCUCACUUUCCUACACUUCUUUUGUCAUUUUAGUUUAUAUAACUCCCCUUAAUUCCUUUUAUCCAAGUUUUUAAUACCAAGGGAUAUGAUGGAGUAAUAAGUACUUAUUCAUUGUUAAUUAGAGGUCUUGGAUUUGAAUCUUUUGGCUAUGAAGUCAUCCGUGUUAGGGAGCACUUUACCCAUAAUGUGAGAUUUUUCGACUGGGCUCUAAUAUGGAUACCGAACAUUGAGCGAUUUUUCUUUUUUUACCUUAGUGGUCAUUUGGUAGGUGGAUAAAGCUACAUCUAAUACAUGAAUCACUACAAGAAAAGUGCUGAUUACCUGGGAAUUAUUGUAGAGAAUAUAUGAUAACCCUAAUGGGUGGAGGGAGGACCAAUUUAUAGAGGUUAUGAUUUAAUCUGGUAUAUCCAUCAAGUAACCAAUGUACGGACGAGAUCUAUUCCUUAUUAAAUAUUAUUUAUGGUAUUACUUGCGUUACUAGUAAACUUGAGCCAUAAGUAAGAAAUAAUUAAUAAUAAUUAAUAAUAAUUCUUACACUUCGGGGUGCCUUCGCCAUAGUUCAAGUCUGGAGUCGGCCAUUUCAGUUCUUGAAAGCUUUUAAUCUAGCUAGUGUUAUUCAUAGUACUUCCGUGUACUUAUCGACCUUAUGUGAGUCCAAACUCGUUUGAGUUAUACAUUUACUUUCUAAUUGUGCACGAGUAUACAUACUUUCUAGGCUUAUAGAGGUCCAGUUAGGUUAUAGAUUAUUGCUUUACUUUACUACUUCGUUCUUUUCAGACUCGUGAGCUAUAUAGUUAGACUUUCCGUUAUUGCUUUGUUCAUUUGACCUCUAAUUACUGUUACUUUCAUAUUCUUCAUAUUGUUUUUACUUUCCAAGUUCAGUUGACCUAUGAUGCCUACUGGACACCUGUUGUUCUGAUAUUCAUGCUACACUCCACAUCUGUUUUCUUGAUGUGGAUUUGAGCGCCAGCCGACAACGGUGAUUGGAGCCUAAGUAAUGCGGAGAUCUUCUGAGAUGAAUGGUGAGCUAAUGGCGUCCUAGUUCGACUUAUCUCCAUAUGUAUAUAAUUUUUUACAUGUCUUUUGUAUUCGAGACAAAUUUAUUAAGUUAGUCAAUAGCAUAGGCUCGAAACUAUGACUAGAACAUUGAGUGCAUGACAUGCACAUCUUACUCCUUACUUUCCUUAUUCGUGCCUGUUUUUUUCAUACUUUCUAACUUUCACUAGUACAUUAUCCCUUGUUAAGGAAAAUUAUGUAAACAAAAUAGUAAAUGGCCUGAUCCACUUAAGAGUGAGGGCUAGUUCAUUGAUUGAUACAGCUAAAUCACAUUAAAUAAUAAAUACGGAGGAGGGCCUAAAAUACCCUUCAAGUAUAGGUAAUGGAACAAAAAUACCCUCUUCCACCUUUAGGCUCCAAAAUACCCUUCCAUCCAUCUAUAUGGACCUAUAUUACCCUUUCACUUAACAGAUUCUUUAAGACUAAUAAUUAAUCUUUUCAUUAAUGAUGUGACAGUCUUUAAUUGGUUGAAAUUGGAAUUAACCAAAAUAAGAAUUUCUCUUAAUUAAACCCAGAUCCAACUAAAUUCCACCCGACUCACUUAAAAUUCUAUUGACCCAUAUCUUAAAUAAUCAAACUUCAAUCAACAACUUGCUCCAGUUAUUUUUAAUCCCAGUCAAAAAAGAGGUACAUUAGACCAUAAACAACAUGAAACUUCCGAAAAUUCCCUGGAAACAUUCCAAGAAGGAAGAAGUGAAAUACAAGAUCAAGUGCCACUAUAAUCAUAUACCAAUAUACACCAUAUUUUGAAACACUAUGAAAAGUCCAGCAAAUCUCCAAUCUCUGGGAAACAUAAACUCAAAGCGGUAAAAUUUCUCAAAAUCCGAAACCCUAGAGUUCAAAAAUUAUUUCACUUCUUUCUUUUUUGCGAUUCAUAUAAAGCACCGCACGCAAAAAGCAAAACCAACAUAAUUUUGGGAAAUUCUCAAAGCAGAAUCAUGGAAUAGAAUAUAAAAAAAAAAUAAAAAAUUUAGCCAUAGCAAGAGAUUAUAUACUUGAUGAAGAAAAGCGAUAGAUAUCGCUUUUCUUCAUCUGCAAAUUUUACGAGAAAAUUAUAUGGAGAGAAAUUCAGUGUACAGAGAAAAAAAAGGAAACUCACCGCUACACACUCGAUUCUUCUUGUUUUUUUUUAAAGAUAUGGGUCAGUAAAAUUUUACGUGGGUUGGGUAGAGUUUAGUUGGAUCCGGGUUUGAUUUGGAGAAAUUAUUGUUUUUGCUUAAUCUAAAUUCCAGCCAAUUAAAGAUUGUCACAUCAUUAAUGAAAAGAUUAAUUAUUACUCAUAAAAAAUCUGUUAAGUGAAAGGGUAAUAUAGGUCCAUAUAGAUGGAUGAAAGGGUAUUUUUGAGCCCAAAGGUGGAUGGAGGGUAUUUUUGUUCCAUUCCCUAUACUUGAAGGGUAUGUUAGGCCCUUCUCCGUAAUAUAUAUUACAUUUUUGAACUGUUAAACUAGAAACAAGAUUUAGGAUUUUUCAAGUGGACCAAAAUACAGAUAUUGAUGCCGAGUACUUAAAGUCUGUUGCUUGCCGAUACUCUAAAAGUAGUAGUGUAUUUUUGGAGAAUCUAACAUGAGUGGAGAGUACACGCGCAACUUAGCUUAAAUUGUGUUGGUCCAAAAGGAAUGCCCCUUGAUACCAUAAACAAAAAAUACCAUGUCAGCUUUUUAUUCAAUAAUAGUACAAAGAUGACUGAUCCAAACAAUUUUAAGCUCAAACACAAUGUUAUAAGAAGACAAGAUACGAACUAAUGUCACAAUAUUACAGGUAAAUCGUUUUUUUUUCUUCCUGUUUUUCAAUUAUUAUCAUUAUAGUAUUUUGUAUUCCAAAUCUUAACGAUACUCAUCCAUUGGUAUGGUAUAGAAGAAGUGUUCAAUUUGCUCGACCUCGCCCUGUGUCUCGUUUCCUCUCUUUAUUGGAGCUAGGCUCUCCUUGUAAUUGAAAACCCAACAGCCAGCAAUGUUAAGGUCCAGGUGAAAUCCAAGAUCUGUAACUUGUCUUGUUUUAGGGUCAUAUCGCACCAGCUGUGAAGUUUCUGUGAUCUCGAAAACCAUCUUAUCAUUAUCCAAGAUGUUGCGAGGCCAAUGAGCAUCUAUAUGAGGUUGUACAGUUAGAACUUUGGACCAAUUUCUGUCUUGUUUCAUUACCCACACAUCGUAUAUGGAUGUCAUUGGUUUACCAGGGUCUCCGGUUAACAUAGCAAGUGAGCCGCCAUGCAAUGUAAGUGUCCCCCAAUGUUCACUUGGAAUAUCUGGGACUUGCAUCUCCCCAAACUGUUCGCUGCCCAUGUCAAAAGAGCGAAUCGUGUAGAUCUCAUCAAGGCCCCUACAAAGCCAAUAAUAAACCCCGUUGAGAUAAGUGGCGUCAAGGGGUGCAGAUAAGGUAGAACUGGGAGGGAAUUCAGGAGUAAGGUAUUUCCAUGAAUUGUUGCAUGAGGAAUAGACACAGGCAUAGACACGAUUAUUAGCACCUUGUCCCAGUUCAUCCCAGAACACUCGAAUCCAUACAACCUUAUAAUCUAGAGUCAACAGGUCAAAUCCCAAUCCGAACUGAUGAUCAUGGUCCGAGAAAAAGUACUCAAUCACAAAAGGCGCAGGAGGCAGAGACCUGAACUCUCUGGUGGCAGGAUUCCACAAACCCAAGCAGACAUUGUAUCCAUAAAACUUCUUCUGCACUAAGAAUAAGCCAUUAACUGGACCAGCAACACACGUGAAAUCAGUGAUCCGAAGCUGAAGGAGAGUUUUUUGUUCAGGGGUCACACCUGGAACAAUUUCUUCAGGGAGCAAGGAGAAUACAACAGACCUUACGAUGGGGUGUACACGUGCUACUUUCAAGAUGCAAACAAGGAGGCGGGCACAAUUAUUCUUGUGAUGAAAAUGUUUUUCUAUGAAACUCGGACUUUUGAUGAGAGCAUACCAGUGCUUGCACACACAUUUGAAACGCAAGAGUGAUUCCACUGGCAAUCUCAAUAGAAUAUCAACUACUAGAUCUUCUGGUAAAGGACGGCGACCAUCCAUACUGGUGGAAAUAUAAGUAGAAUGAGGCAACUUACAAACAUAUUGAAAUAGAAUAGAUCUAGAAAACAUGCAUUAAUAGAACACACAGUGCAACGAAGAAGAUCAAGCAGCAGCAUUACCAAUGUGAAGCAAAAAAGGGGAAGUUACACAUUUGACCACUCGGCCACAAAUAUUUAUAUCCGCAAGCCAAUACACAUAUUAUGGGUAAACAUAUUUUUAAAAAUAUUUUGACAAAAUUUCUUGUAGAUCAAUUUGGGAGAAAAGAUCCAAAAUAGUUCUUUAUGUUUGGCUUCAGACUCAAAGUCAUCCCUUCCCUUUCUUUUAUAUGGUGCACUAAUAGUCCUUUAAGUUUCAAGUGUUAGUGCACUUCUAGUCUCUUGAUUAACAUCCAUUUACUCAUUAACGUUUUGAUCCUUUACACAUCCAUUUAUGGCCUCCGCUGUAUACAUUCUGGUACAAAACAAAUUAAUUCUUAGAUUUAUCUUAGCAAUUGCAGAUGAGUCUUCAUUUGUACUUCGUUUUAUAUUUUGGCUCUGCAUCUUUCAUUGUUUGGUGUGCAGUAUUCAAGAUUUGCUAAUUCUUUAACUUUCUCCUUUAUUUUCGAUACACAAUUAAUAAGCUGACUAAGUCUUUGGGUUUUUCCUGAAUAAAAGUUUCUUGCGCUUUGCCUAUAUAUCUGGAGCAUAACCAAAGAAUAAAUAAAAACAAGAAAAAAGGAAAAAUAUAAUACAUACUUAGUCUUCGUGUAUCAAUAUCUCAAAUUAGCAUCGGAUAAAGGGUGUGUUCCGUAGAAAAUAGUUUCUAAUCAAAAUUUUUGGAAAAGAUUUUCUUAGGAAAACAAGUUCCAUACGUGACACUUCAAAAUUCAAAUGAAGAAAAUGACUUUCUAAAGGAAGUAGGGAAAACAAGUUUCAUAUGUGACAUUUCAAUUGAGUAUGUCCUCCCACUCUCUAAGACACCACAUAUUCACCUCACUCCCGUAGCUUCCAUACCCACUACCCUACACAUCUACCCCACCUCCGUCCCUCAUAGUAUUGUCUAGAUAAUACAUAAAUGCUUUUAGAAUAAUAUUAAAUUUUUUUUGCUUAUAUACCAAACACAAAAUAUACAUAAGAAUCUCACUUAUUUUCCUAGAAAAUAUUUUUCAAAAAAUAUUUUCCUUGGUACCGUACACACCCAAAGUUCCAAUGUCCUCGGAUAAUAUCAGCCAAAUAGAGUCAAUAAGAGGAGACUAGUAAAGAAGUAGUCAUGUGGUUUUCUAGUCUUUUCAUUAACUAGUCAAUAAUUAUUUUUGAGCUACAAAUCAAAUUAGCAUAUAGAGCAAUUUUGCAGGUAAUUUAAGGAGCAUGAAACAGUAAAUACCCUUUUCUGCUAAUAUCAAUCUACAAAUCCUUGGAAAUGGAACAAUUUUAACUUACCCAAUAUUGAAAUGUAAAAGAUGGAAAGAAGUAAAAAGAAUUAGCAUAAACAGAAACAAUGGCAGCAAAACCCUAUAUCCAUCCCCAAACAGCACAAAUUCAGAUUCAGAUUCAAAUUCAAAAUAAUAAUCAGAAAUCUAACCUUAUAAGCUGAUGAAGAAGAAGUGGCGGACAAGGAAAAAAUGGAAAAAGAGAUAUCGGAUCGAUUGAUUGGUGUUGUAGAAAUACCUCAACAGUUGACUACUUCCUCACACUUCUUUCGUCAUUUUAUUUUACUACUUCUUGGGAACGCGUUUGUUCCUCUCCUUUUUUUUUCUCGCGUGUGUUCCUUAUUAUUAUUAAAUUUUUAUAUACUAAAAAGUUGAGUUAUAAAAUAGAAAAUGCUGAAAUUAACAAUAGUAGUUUUAUCAUUUAUAUUUUAUUUACUAAAUAAUAAAAAAUAUAUACUGGAGCAUUUUUUGUUAACCUUCAUUUGUUGUUUCUCACUCUCUUUUCUUCUCAUGUUGAAAUUUGAUUGUGCAAUUACCUUCCUAUGAUAACAUCAAUCUUUGUGAAAUUGGUUCUUAAAAAGCAAAUUCAAAUUUUAAUUUUGGAAGUGUUUUUACAUAAUAGUGGAGAAUGAUUCUUCAUAUUCAACUUUUAAUUUUGAAUUGUAAUGAACAAUUACUAUUCAAAUACAAAUCUAGUUUAUUUUUAACCUUACAUUUAUUGAAUCUUUAAUGUGUACGUUAAUGAUAUAUAAUAAUUUAUUAAUUAGGUAUUUGAUUUAGUGUAGGGGCAAAAUGGUAAUUCAACUAUACACUUUCGAGUUUUCACUUUUAAUAAGUAAUUAUAAUAUAUACAAAAGAUUAAACCAUUUGAUAUUAAAAAAAUAUAUGUAUGAGUAAUAAUUAACAUUCAAUGGCAAAAGAAUGUAUCACAUUCUCAUAAACAAUAUCUCUAAGGCAAAAGUAGACAUUCUAAUUUGGACAAUUACUACUUAACUACUUAUGGGUUCAGCCAAUAAUCUGGAGAUAGGAGUUUGACAAUUUUUCAGCCAUAGUUAAAAUUCUACAUCAAUAAUAAAUAGCUUCUUAUCACAGUAAAUAGACAUUUGAAUAAUUAAUAUAAAUUGAGCAACACAAACUUUUCAAAAUGACUUAUUCUAGAUAUAUAAUAGGGAAAAGGGUCAAAAUUACCCCUCAGUUUUGUUUUAUUGGUUAACUUUAUCCUUACCAUUAAAAACAAGUUAUUUUUACCCCUGUCGUCAAUAAACUUAACAAAUAUACCCCUCCUUGAACGGAAACCCCCAAAUCAAUUGAAAUUACCCGAUUUUAAUUGAAAUUAUCCAAUUUCUUUUUUAACCCGAACUAGAACCCAACCCACUAAACUAAACAAAUUAACCCAUUUCCAAUCUUCUUCAUCUCAGUGUUCUUGGCUAAGUACCCUAAGAACACUCACAAUCUUUAUCAUAGCUAACACAUAAAUCCUACAUUGUCUGACAAAAUCAAUUGAAAAGGUUCGUUGGUUGAAUGUAUAACAAGUAAAUUAUUUUUGCUGAACAACAUCCCGCCUCUCUCUGUUGUGGGGUUCAGCGAAGAACAAGCCACAGAGCAAGUAAAUGGAAAAGUUUCAAUUUACACAUCAUCAUUCAAUCCAAUGAAGAAAACCAUUUCUAGGUACCAACCAAAUUACUUUUUGAUUUGUUGUCAGUAGGCUGCCCCUAAAUGUGUACCCAAUAGUACAUCUAAUUCUUCUUUACCUGGCUCGUAAAUCAAUUCAGUGGCCCUCCAUGAUUCUUGUAUGUGCACGUAAAAUUAAGCUACAAUGGAGGGGAGGUUUUUCUUUUCUCUAUCUUUUUAUUUGUUCAAAAUGUUUCCAAUAUAUCAUCAUAUUUGAUGAGUACUGGAUAUUUGAUGAUUACUGAUUUCUUGUAUGUAGCAAAUCAUGUGAUUGAACGACUGCAGUGUUUAGCCUAGGCAACCUUCAACAAACAAUUUGGAGAUAAAUAUCAGGUCUUUUCGAUUGAUUUUGUUAGACAAUGUAGAAUUUGUGUUAGCUAUGAUAAAGAUUGUGAGUGUUCUUAGGGUACUUAGCCAUGAACACUGAGAUGAAGAAGAUUGGAAAUGGGUUUAUUUGUUUAGUUUAGUGGGUUGGGUUCUGGUUCAGGUUAAAAAAGAAAUUGGAUAAUUUCAAUUAAAAUUGAAUAAUUUCAAUUGAUUUGGGGAUUUCCGUCCAAGGAGGGAUAUAUUUGUUAAGUUUAUUGACGGCAGGGGUAAAAAUAACUUGCUUUUAACGGUAAGAGUAAAAUCAACCAAUAAAAUAAAGUUGAUGGGUAAUUUUGACCCUUUUCUCUAUAUAACAUAUAUGGACAAUUUGAGGAAUGAAUGUUUCAACACAUGAAUAAUAGACUAAUAAGGUCAAUAGAUUAUACAUAUAAAUGAAAAGUUAAAUAAAAAUACAGCCUCAAAAUCACAUACUAUGAUCCAUCAUUUAUCUCCAAUUCGGUGGCCCAGUUUAUUUUAGGGUAUGGAUUCUUUUAUUUUUAAAAAAAAAACAUAUUUGAUUUUUCUCAUUUAGUUAUUCCUCUCCCUACUCAUAAAUAAUAAUCUCGAAAAAAUAUUUUUACUAAAGUAGAACACUCUAUCAAGAGCCAAAUAAACAUAUCAAAUUAACUAAUUAAUCUUUCAUCAAUUAUUGAUAGAACAUGAAUUGUAUAUCACUACUUUCUUCAUGUAGGAUACAAGAUAUUUCAAUAGAAAAACAAAAUCAUAAGAAAGCAUAUCAAAAUAUAAAAAAAGGACAUAUAAAAUACUUUGGCUGGACAAGGAGGAGCGGAUAAAAACAAAAGGAAAUUACUGCACAUACAAAAUGAUGAGCAAGAUUAGUUUUUUGCAGGAUAGUCUCUCAUCCUCCUCUUAUCAUUUACAUGAAAACCAUGCUAGGCAUUUUAUAGCAAUAGCUAGGAUGACCUUUGAGUAGAUAAUUAAUUUGCAUUAAUUUAGUUUAAUGAUUUUAGUCCAUAUCAAAUUUAUUUAAUGGAAAACUCUUCAAAUACUCUUGAUUUUACAGAAAAAGAGAAAUUGACUAUUAAUGUGAAUUUGAUUCAUGUACCAAUUUAAAUGAGUUUAAUCUAAGGAAGUGAAAAAAUCAUUAACAUUUUUAUUAAAACGAUACAAUUUAAUAUUUAAAUUAAAUAGUUAAAUAUUUUAUAACAUUUUAAUUUAUAAUAGGGGUAAAACGGUAAUUCAACUUUUAACUUUUUUUAUUCCCGCUUAUAGUAAUAUAUGAUACAACUCCUCUUAAUUCCUUUUAUCUAAGUUUUUAAUUAUGUGGUGGAGUAAUAAGUACUUAUUCAUUCUUAAUUAGAGGUUCCAGUUUGAGUCUUUUUGGCUAUAAAAUCAUCUCUGUUAGAGCGCUUUACCCAUAAUCUAAGAUUUUUCGACACAAAUUCAAAUUUAGUGAGGCUCUAAUAUGGAUAUCGAACACUGAGGGGAAAAUAAAAAUAAAAAUUACCUUAGGGGUUAUUUGGUAGGUGGAUAAAGCUACAUCUAAUACAUGAAUAACAAAGUUAUUUAUGUAUUUAAUUUAUAUAAUGUUUGUAUAAAAGUUAUUCAUAUAUUAACAAAGAUGUUUCUCUCUACGAUAUGUUCCCACAGGAGAAAGAGUUUGUUACUUGAAGAGGGGGGGGGGGGAUGUUGNNNNNNNNNNNNNNNNNNNNNNNNNNNNNNNNNNNNNNNNNNNNNNNNNNNNNNNNNNNNNNNNNNNNNNNNNNNNNNNNNNNNNNNNNNGAAGGGGGGGGGGGGGUAUUUGGAGUCUUUUAGCCACAGUUCGAAGCCCUGACAUAUCGAUCUCUUUUAGCCACGGUUCAAGGUCCCAACGUAUUUUGUUUUGCCACGGUUCAAGGUCCCGACGUAUUUUAUUUUGCCACGGUUCGAGGCCCCAUCAUAUCUCUAUUCGCCUUGGUUCGAAUCCUAACAUGUGGUUCAUUUGGGUUCUUCGGGGUGCCUUCACCAAAGUUCAAGUCUAGAGUCAGCCAUUUUAAGUUCUUGAAAGCUUUUAAUAUAACUAGUGUUAUUCAUAGUACUUCUGUGUACUUAUCAGGCUUAUGUGAGUCCAAACUCGUUUGAGUUAUUUACUUUCCAAUUGCGCACAGGUAUACAUACUUUCUGGGCUUAUAGGGGUCCAGUUAGGUUAUAGAUAAUUGUUUUACUUUACUACUUUGUUCUUUCCAGACUCGUGAGCUAUAUAGUUAGACUUUCCGUUAUUACUUUGUUCAUUUGACCUCUAAUUACCGUUACAUUCAUAUUUUUCAUAUUGUUUUUACUUUCCAUGCCCAGUCGACCUAUGAUGCUACUGGGCACCUGUUGUUUUGAUAUUAUGCUACACUCCACAUCUGUUUUCUUGAUGUAGAUUUGAGCGCCAGCUGAUAAUGGUGAUUCGAGCCUAAGAAAUGCGGAGAUCUUCUGAGAUGAAGGGUGAGCUGAUGGCAUCCUAGUUCGACUUAUCUCCAUAUGUAUAUAGUUUUUUAAUGUCUUUUGUAUUCGAGACAAGUCUAUUAAGUUAGUGAAUAGCAUAGGCUCGAAACUAUGACUAGAACAUUGAGUGCAUGACAUGCACAUCUUACUCCUUAUUUUCCCUAUUCGUACCUGUUUUUUUCAUACUUUCUAACUUCACUGGUACAUUAUUCCUUGUUAAGGAAAAUUAUGUAAACAACUAGUUCUUUGAUUGAUACAACUAAUUCACAUUAAAUAAUAACUAGAAUCUUAUUACAUUUUUGAACUGUUAAACUAGAAACAAGAUUUAGGAUAAGGGAACUAUUUAUUAACUUCACUUCUCCUUAUUAGUGUCAAAAGUUUCUCGUUUAGGAAAUAUGAAGUUUUGAAGGACUAAUAGUAUAUUAUCCUUUUUUAAAAUUGAACUCUAUCCAAUGGUUGAUUCUAUUUAUGAAUCAAUUCCUUAGGUGCAUUAUUUCCAUAGGUUUCAACAUUGGUAACAAAAUCUAGCUUUCUCGCUUAAAUUGACAUAUUUCUAUACUUCCCUCAUCUUAUCUAUCACUGAGGCCGCUCCCAUCUUAUCCCUUAUAUCCUUAUUUAUAAUUUUUAUCGCUCCGAGUAUGAACGUGCAUCCACCUCAAUAUAUAUUCACAUCUCUGCAACAUGCAUCUUCUAGACAUGGGACUUGACUGGCCAACUCUCAUUUCCAUACAACAAUUACAUACACACUCUAUAUAAAUACACACAUACAUAUAUUGAUGGAAAAAUCAUCAACAGAUGAAACUUAAGCAAUACUCCCUCCAUCUCAAUUAAUGUGACAGUCGGAAUUUUGUCUUUUAAAUUGUUAAUUAUUGUGAUUUACCAUUUUUCACAUAAUUUUCAAAUACAUAAAUUUUAUAUCAAAAAAACUUAAAGUUUCUGUAUCCGAAUUUACUAUUAAAUUAUAGAAGUUUGAAUCUCAAAAUUUCAACUAAUGCCACAUAAAUUAAAUCAACUCCAACACUCAGAAAAGCUACAAAAGUUCAAACAUAGAAAGUAAAAAAAAAUUUAAAAAAGAAAUAGAAAAAACCUUGAGAUAAUAUGUCUUGCUAAUUUCCUCUUCAGAUGCUAAUUAAAGGACUUACACCAAGAACAUCAUAAUACUCUGUGUCUUUCACCAUUUUCUUUUCUUUUUCCAAAAUCCCUAUUAACAAAAAAUUUACUCUUUUACCUCCUCCAAUACUCUAAUUACCUUUUUUUUCGCGCUUCUAAAAUCUUAAUACAAGAGCGAAAAACCACUUGAGUGUAAGGAAAGGAAACAAGCCAAACGAAAAAAAAAAAAAAAACUCUCAAAAUUAUAUGAUCAAGAAAACUUGCAAGUACAAAAGGAGAAAGAGGAGGGGGUGGGUGGGGUAUGAUGAAAAGAAUGUCUCAGAAUAAGAGAGUGCCCCAACGAGACAAAGCUGCCUUUCCAGUUCUGAUCAACAAAUUAAUUACGGAAAAUCUGUUGCUUGUCGAUACUCUAAAAGCAGUGUAUUUUUGGAAUUAAGAGGAGUUGUAUAAACUAAAAUGACAAAAGAAGUGUAGGAAAGUGAGGAAGUAGUCAACUGUUGAGGUAUUUCAACAACACCACUCAAUCAAUCCAAUAUCUCUUUUUCCAUUUUUACCUUGUCGUAAUUGCGGCACUUCUUCUUCAUCAGCUUAUAAGGUUAGAUUUCUGAUUAUUUUUUUGAAUCUGAAUCUGAAUCUGAAUUUGUGCUAUUUGGGGAUGGAUAUAGGGUUUUGCUGCCAUUGUUUCUGUUUAUGCUAAUUUUUUUUAUUUCUUUCCAUCUUUUACAUUUCAAUAUUGGGUAAGUUAAAAUUGUUUCUUUUCCAAGGAUUUGUAUAUUGAUAUUAGUAGAAAAGGGUAAUUACUGUUUCAUGCUCCUUAAAUUACCUGCAAAAUUGUUCUAUAUGCUAACUUGAUAUGUAGCUCAAAAAUACCUAUUGACUAGUUAAUGAAAAGUCUAGAAAACCACAUGACUACUUCUUUACUAGUCUCCUCUUAUUGACUCUAUUUGGCUGAUUAUUGAUCCGUCCAACCCAUUUCAACCCAAAUCGAAAGAAAAAAUCCAAGAUAGUCCUUUAUUUUUGGCUUUAGAUUCGAAAUCAUCAAUUGAUGCACUAAUAGUCCUCCAAAGUUUUAAGUAUUAGUGCACUUUUAUCUGAUGCUAAUUUGAGAUAUUGAUACACGAAGACUAAGUAUGUAUUAUAUUUUUCCUUUUUUCUUGUUUUUAUUUUAUUCUUUGGUUAUGCUCCAGAUAUAUAGGCAAAGCACAAGAAACUUUUAUUCCGGAAAAACCCAAAGACUUAUAGUCAGCUUAUUAAUUGCUUAUGGAAAAUAGAAGAGAAAGUUAAAGAAUUAGCAAAUUUUGAAUGGUGCACACCAAACAUUGAAGAUGCAGAGCCAAAAAAUAAAACAAGUACAAAUGAAGACUCAUCUGCAAUUGCUAAGAUAAAUCUAACAAUUAAUAUGUUUUGUACCAGAACGUAGACAGUGGAGGUUAUAAAUGGGUGUGUAAAGGAUCAAAACGUUAAUGAGUAAAUGGAUGUUAAUGAAGAGACUAAAAAUGCACUGACACUUGAAACUUAAAGAACUAUUAGUGCACUAUAUAAAAGAAAGGGAAGGGAUGACUUUGAGUCUGAAGCCAAACAUAAGGAACUAUUUUGAAUCUUUUCCAAACAAUGUUAAGCUCAAACACAAUGUUAUAAAAAGGUAAGAUAAGAACUAAUGUCACAAUAUUACAGGUAAAUCGUUUUUUUUUCCUGUUUUUCAAUUUUUAUCACUAUAAUAUUCUGUAUGUCAAACUCUAAGAUCCUCAUCCAUUGGUAUGGUAUAGAAGUAGUGUUCAAUUUGCUCGACUGCAUUAUCCUCACCCUGAGUCUCGUUUCCUCUCUUUAUUGGAACUAGGCUCUCCUUGUAAUUGAAAACCCAACAGCCAGAAAAGAUAAGGUCCAGCUGAAAUCCAAGAUCUGUAACUUGUCUUGUUUCAGGGUUAUAUAGCACUAGCUGUGAAGUUUCUGUGAUCUCGAAAACCAUCUUAUCGUUAUCCCAGAUGUUGUAAGGCCAAUGAGCAUCUAUAUGAGGUUGAAGAGUAAGAACUUUGGACCAAUUUCCCCCUUGUUUCAUUACCCACACAUCGUAUAUGGAUGUCAUUGGUUUGCCAGGGUCACCGGUUAAUAUAGCAAGUGAGCCGCCAUGCAAUGUAAGCUUCCCCCAAUGUUCACUUGGAAUAUCUGGGACUUGCAUCUCCCCAAACUGUUCGCUGCCCAUGUCAAAAGAGUGAAUCGUGUAGAUGUCAUCAAGGCCCAUAGAAAGCCCAUAAUAAACCCCGUUGAGAUAAGUGGCGUCAAGGGGUGCAGAUAAGGUAGAACUGGGAGGGAAUUCAGGAGUAAGGUGUUUCCAUGAAUUGUUGCAUGAGGAAUAGACAUAGGCAUAGACACGAUUAUUAGCACCUUGUCCCGGUUCAUCCCAGAACACUCGAAUCCAUACAACCUUAAAAUCUUGAGUCAACAG